AUUGAACGCUGGCGGCAGGCCUAACACAUGCAAGUCGAACGGCAGCACAGAAGAGCUUGCUCUUUGGGUGGCGAGUGGCGGACGGGUGAGUAAUGUCUGGGAAACUGCCCGAUGGAGGGGGAUAACUACUGGAAACGGUAGCUAAUACCGCAUAACGUCGCAAGACCAAAGUGGGGGACCUUCGGGCCUCACACCAUCGGAUGUGCCCAGAUGGGAUUAGCUAGCAGGUGGGGUAAUGGCUCACCUAGGCGACGAUCCCUAGCUGGUCUGAGAGGAUGACCAGCCACACUGGAACUGGGACACGGUCCAGACUCCUACGGGAGGCAGCAGUGGGGAAUAUUGCACAAUGGGCGCAAGCCUGAUGCAGCCAUGCCGCGUGUAUGAAGAAGGCCUUCGGGUUGUAAAGUACUUUCAGCGGGGAGGAAGGCGGUGAAGUUAAUAACUUCACCGAUUGACGUUACCCGCAGAAGAAGCACCGGCUAACUCCGUGCCAGCCGCCGCAGUAACAC
rnacentral:rRNA from 1 species